rnacentral:rRNA from 1 species
GACGAACGCUGGCGGCGUGCUUAACACAUGCCAGUCGAACGGAAAGGCUCCAGCUUGCUGGAGUACUCGAGUGGCGAACGGGUGAGUAACACGUGGGUAAUCUGCCCUGCACUCUGGGAUAAGCCUGGGAAACUGGGUCUAAUACUGGAUAUGACCUUUCUCCUUAUGGGGUUUGGUGGAAAGUUUUUCGGUGUAGGAUGAGCCCGCGGCCUAUCAGCUUGUUGGUGGGGUGAUGGCCUACCAAGGCGACGACGGGUAGCCGGCCUGAGAGGGUGAUCGGCCACAUUGGGACUGAGAUACGGCCCAGACUCCUACGGGAGGCAGCAGUGGGGAAUAUUGCACAAUGGGCGGAAGCCUGAUGCAGCGACGCCGCGUGAGGGAUGACGGCCUUCGGGUUGUAAACCUCCUUCAGCAGGGACGAAGCGUAAGUGACGGUACCUGCAGAAGAAGCACCGGCUAACUAUGUG